UUGGUUUGAGUCUCGGAUCUUAAGUCUUUAAAUAGCAUUUUCUGUAGUGUUUAAUGUUAUUAAGUUCAUUAUUAAUGAGAUAUGAUGUAACCUAAAUACAAGAUAACAUACCUAAUUAAAAGUAAUUAGUUUGGAAAUAAAUUCAUGACAAAGAUAACUUAAUUAUUUGUGUCUAUAUAAACAUCAUUCAUAGAAACUCAAGUCAUUACACAACAAGCAAAAUACUCAAAAUCUUGGAAAAACUCAAAUUAAGAAUUAAGAUAUGGAGAAGGUUUCGUUUUCAAUGACAUUCUUGUUCGUUUUGUUUGUCAUCACAACUUGUGUUUCAAUGUCGAACAUACCAGUCGUCGAGGGAGGAGAAAUUAAGCUAAAUGUACCAUGCAACACAACCGCAACUUGCCACCGAAAAACUUCUUGUCCAGGAAAGAGGAUGGUUGUACGUUGUGUUCAUAAUUUUUGUCAAUGUAAUUGGUGAUCAUUUCAUACUUUCUCAUCUAUUUGCUUCUAACAACAAUAAAGACCUCAAGUCUUCCAGAAGCAGGGAUGCUUAAAUAAAUGUUCAUUUAUUUUACAAUAAUAAAUGUAGUGGUUUAUGA